AGCAGCGUGGCUCAGUGGAAAGAGCCUGAGCUUCGGAGGCAGAGGUCAUGGGUUCGAUUCCCAGCUCUGCCA
rfam:Ornithorhynchus anatinus chromosome 5, whole genome shotgun sequence.